AGCCUACGGGGCGCAGCAGUAGGGAAUUUUCGUCAAUGGGCGCAAGCCUGAACGAGCAAUGCCGCGUGAACGAGGAAGGUCUUCGGAUCGUAAAGUUCUGUUGAAGGGGAAAAAGAGCGGAGAGAGGAAAUGCUUUCUGAUUGAUAUUACCCUUCGAGGAAGUCACGGCUAACUACGUGCCAGCAGCCACAGUAAUACGUAGGUGGCGAGCGUUAUCCGGAAUGAUUGGGCGUAAAGGGUGCGUAGGCGGCCUGCUAAGUCUGGAGUGAAAGGUACCGGCUCAACCGGUACAGGCUCUGGAAACU
rnacentral:rRNA from 1 species